AUUGAACGCUGGCGGCAGGCCUAACACAUGCAAGUCGAGCGGAUGAAGGGAGCUUGCUCCUGGAUUCAGCGGCGGACGGGUGAGUAAUGCCUAGGAAUCUGCCUGGUAGUGGGGGAUAACGUCCGGAAACGGGCGCUAAUACCGCAUACGUCCUGAGGGAGAAAGUGGGGGAUCUUCGGACCUCACGCUAUCAGAUGAGCCUAGGUCGGAUUAGCUAGUUGGUGGGGUAAAGGCCUACCAAGCCGACGAUCCGUAACUGGUCUGAGAGGAUGAUCAGUCACACUAGAACUGAGACACGGUCCAGACUCCUACGGGAGGCAGCAGUGGGGAAUAUUGGACAGUGGGCGAAAGCCUGAUCCAGCCAUGCCGCGUGUGUGGAGAAGGUCUUCGGAGUGUAAAGCACUUUAAGUUGUGAGGAAGGGCAGUAAGUUAAUACCUUGCGGUUUUGACGGUACCAACAGAAUAAGCACCGGCUAACUUCGUG
rnacentral:rRNA from 1 species